CUCUUAGCGUUGAUACUUAGCCUCAUACAUCUCUAUCUUUGAUUGUUGGUUGAUAUUCUGAGUGAUUUUUUAGGGUUUCUUUUUGAGUUAUAUACUUUUCUUCUUCUUCAUAUUUAGUCCCUGUAAUCUUUUGGUGAGAUGUUCUUGAAUGAAUUUAGUGUGCAAUCUAAGAGAUUGUGAGAAGUAUAUUCUGUUGUCAUAGUAGGAAGACGAGAGAAAUUUGAUUUCCUAAUACAUGUCACCUAUUCUUUUGUUGAUUUUAGUGGAUCUAGAGCAAUAUCUACUUAUAGAUGUUCGAUGUGGUUGUUAUGUCGAAGGCUGAACAUCCGUUAAGGGUAAAAAUAAUUCUUCCUAUUCUUGUUAUUUUAAGUUCUACGAUUUAUUUUCUCGUAAACAUUUUUUUAUUUAAACUGGGUUGUAAAAAUUGAUUUGGGACCAACAAAUGAUAUCAGUGCACUUUUCUCUAAAAUCAUGGGUUAUGGUUUUUUUUUUUUCCCUCUGAAAACCCAAGUUUUUAAAAAUCAAUUGCUUGAUGCAGAUCUGGAGAUUUUGAGAAGAUUUUGUGAAAAUAAAUUGGUUUUCUGAAAAAGGUAUUUGUUUGAUUAGCUUUCAAUUCAACUUUUGGUUGGAUCCUUUUAAGAUUUUUGUGUCUUUUGGGUUAGAUCUAUCUUGUUCAAUACUCUACUGUUCAUGAGGUUUAAUUUGUUUUUCCUCUUAUGUACCUUUGACUCUCCUUAGAUCUUGAAUCACUACUGAGCCGUGGUUGUACUUGUAACUCAUACUGGAUUCUAGUAAGUUGAAUUGACUCACUCCGAUUCCUAUUGAUUUCUUGACUCACUGACAAGUUCUGCUAAGUCAUUGUGACUUGUUGGGUUCCUUUGUAUUAUUUGGAAGUAUUGGUUCAAUUCUAGCAUUCUUACACUGCUCCAUUCUUUCCACAAUUUCGCCAUUUUAGACUUUAGUAUAAUCUUCUCACUCCCUUUUAAUCUGCUGUCACUAAAUUGGUUCUGUUAUACUAUGUUUUGGUCAUUAAGAUAAGUAAUCUACCAUUACUUUUCUUUGUUCAAGAAUGUCAUGGGAAGAGCCAACGGGGAGGAAGAAGGAAAUGAAGAGGAGCCA
rnacentral:lncRNA from 1 species